GGGGGCGAAACGGCUUCGACGGGGAUAAAGAAGCCCAGAUUGCAUGCCGAGCUCCUGCCGACUCGUAAAACCGGUGGGGAUUAAAUAUAAUCGCUGAUGAUUAUAACUACGCCGUAGCAGCUUAGUGCU
rnacentral:tmRNA from 1 species